rnacentral:rRNA from 1 species
AGAUACCCUGUUACUUAUAGUUAAAAUUUUUUGGAAUAGUAAUAAUAAUGAAAUUUAACGGAUUUGGCGGCAAGAUAGCUAUUUAGAGGAACCUGCCCUGUAAACGAUAAGCCACGAGAUACUCUACUUUUGUUUGUAAUCAGUUUGUAUACCGCUGUUGUCAGUCAGUUUUUUUAGAAAACUUUCUAUUAUGAUAAAAUCAACUACUUCAAGUAAAGGUGCAGCUUAUAUAAAAGAUAGAGGUGGGUUACAUUUAAAAUGAUUAAAACAGAUAAAGAUACUGAAAAUUCUUUUGAAGGCGGAUUUAAAUGUAAAGUUUAUGUAAACU